UUCAUUUGUGUGUCUCCCUUCUCCUUCUCUCAGUGCUCUCUUCCUCCUGUCUCUCUUUGUGAUUGUAGGUGGUUUAGUUUGGGUUUCUCUUCCUCAUCUUCAGUUUUUUUCUCUGAGGAAAACUGAUGUUGCUAAUCUGAUCUCCCAGCGCAAAGCGCCUCCCCUAGAGGAGGAAGGGAGAUCAAGCUUACUGUUCAUUGGUAUUUACAUUCUUGCCAUCGAAUUUAGGGGUUUGGCUGUCAGCUGUCGAGCCAGGUAUUUCAACUAUGUUUUGCCAUUUUGAGGGAAUGCAUUUCUUAUGUGUUUCUUCUCGCGUUGGUUUUGUUUUGUCCAAUCCGUUUCCAUCGCCUUAUGUUUGGAUGUGCUCAAAUCAGUUUUUCGUUCAGUUUGCGGAACUCUCUCUCUCUCAACGAAGUAGGGCGAGUAUGAUUUUCGUUUCUGUCUUUGUUGCUGUGCAAAUGGAGCAGGAAAUCAAAGCUCAAUUAUCCAUCUCUCUUCCUCAAUCAUCUUUAUCCAGUAUCUUUAGUCAUGUUAAGUUUUUAUUCUUGGUUUUCACUUGAUUCCAAUUGGUGUUUUGAUCUUUUUGCAUGUGGCUAAGUUUUGUUCUGGGUUGCUAUGGAAGCUCAAAGCCAUCGUUUUCAUAUAUAUAUAUAUAUAUAUAUAUAUAUAUAUAUAUUUCGUUUAAAGCUUUAUAAUUUAGAGAAUCGAAAGAAUUCCAUUUUAAUUGAUCAAUAAUGGGAUCAUGGGGUUUAGUCAUUUUUUUCCCAACUCAAACCUUUUUUGUUAAUCACUAAUCGAUUGGGUUUAGUUUAUUAUUAUAAACUAAUUAGAUGCUCUGAGUCUGGGUGAGUAAUUGAAUCUAAAGGAUGAGCCAGUUGGGAAAUUAGCGAGAGAAGCUUAAAGAUUAACAUUUGAUGCGGGACUAAAGUUUCAUUAUAGUUGAACAAUACUAUCUUAUUAUAAAUAAUAUAUGUAAAGUAAUUAAGUUUUUUGUUUCUUACAAAAUAUCCACUAUGCAGCUUCAGAUUUCCAUAGUGAUAAACUCCGUGUCAGUCGGAGUAUGUGUCUAAAUUACAGUGAAGAACAACGGCCACCGUGUGAGAGUUUGGGUUUGCAGAUCAAAUUUUCAAGUGUACGACUAGAGUAAGGUUCAUCAAUUUCUCUUCUGCUUUGGGUUGUGUUUGAUUAUAUUUUUUGGGGUGCAUAUCUUGGCGGUUGAUGGCUUCUAUUGUUUUCUAUGCUUGCUUCUUCUGUUGAUACUCUGGGUUCAUGCUGAGGGAGAAGAAAUAAUUGGCGGCAACUCCCUUUCCUUUUUCAAUCAUAAAGGUAUAACCUCAAUCUAUUUGGUGUCAUUUACUCAAUCCUCUAUAGCUUCUAGAUAUUCUAAGAAGUAGCAAGCUGCAAAUCAUAAAAAAAUAGCCCAUGUGUGCUUCAGUUUAGAUUAAUUUCAUCAAUUUGGACACAUUUGAUGUUCAUUUAACCUCUCAUGCCAAAAGUAUAGAACAUGAGCCAGUUUUAAUAAUGUUCAUUUAAACCCUGCUUUUGUAUAUCAUGUUUAUAACAAAGUGACUGCUAUGAAGUUAUCAAUCAUGAGGUACAACUCA